UACGUAGGGGGCUAGCGUUGUCCGGAAUCAUUGGGCGUAAAGAGCGCGUAGGCGGCCCUGUAAGUCCGCUGUGAAAGUCAAGGGCUCAACCCUUGGAUGCCGGUGGAUACUGCAGGGCUAGAGUCCGGAAGAGGCGAGUGGAAUUCCUGGUGUAGCGGUGAAAUGCGCAGAUAUCAGGAGGAACACCCGUGGCGAAAGCGGCUCUCUGGAACGGUACUGACGCUGAGACGCGAAAAGCGUGGGGAGCGAAC
rnacentral:rRNA from 1 species